GAUGAAGAACGCAGCAAAAUGCGAUAAGUAAUGUGAAUUGCAGAAUUCAGUGAAUCAUCGAAUCUUUGAACGCACAUUGCGCCCGCCAGUAUUCUGGCGGGCAUGCCUGUUCGAGCGUCAUUUCAACCCUCAAGCACAGCUUGGUGUUGGGACUCGCGUUAAUUCGCGUUCCCCAAAUUGAUUGGCGGUCACGUCGAGCUUCCAUAGCGUAGUAGUAAAACCCUCGUUACUGGUAAUCGUCGCGGCCACGCCGUUAAACCCCAACUUCUGAAUGUUGACCUCGGAUCAUGUAGGAGUACCCGCUGAACUUAAGCAUAUCAAUAAGCGGAGGA
rnacentral:misc_RNA from 1 species